AUACUUACCUGGCAGUGGAGACACCUUAAUCACAGAGGUGAUUCACCCAAGUUGAGGCUCAGCCAUUGCACCUCGGUUGUUUGACGCUUGCGAAUAUCCAGAAUGUUGAAAUCUCGACUGCAUAAAUUCUGGUAGCGGGGAACUGCGUUAGCGCUCUCCCCCA